rnacentral:rRNA from 1 species
GUGUCAGCAGCCGCGGUAAUACGUAGGGUGCAAGCGUUAAUCGGAAUUACUGGGCGUAAAGCGUGCGCAGGCGGUCGUAAAAGACAGAUGUGAAAUCCCCGGGCUUAACCUGGGAACUGCAUUUGUGACUGUACGGCUGGAGUGCGGCAGAGGGGGAUGGAAUUCCGCGUGUAGCAGUGAAAUGCGUAGAUAUGCGGAGGAACACCGAUGGCGAAGGCAAUCCCCUGGGCCUGCACUGACGCUCAUGCACGAAAGCGUGGGGAGCAAACAGGAUUAGAUACCCGCGUAGUCC